rnacentral:rRNA from 1 species
CCUACGGGAGGCUGCAGUGGGGAAUAUUGGACAAUGGGGGGAACCCUGAUCCAGCCAUGCCGCGUGUGUGAAGAAGGCCCUCGGGUUGUAAAGCACUUUCAGUGAGGAAGAACGCCUGGUGGUUAAUACCCAUCAGGAAAGACAUCACUCACAGAAGAAGCACCGGCUAACUCCGUGCCAGUAGCCGCGGUAAUACGGAGGGUGCGAGCGUUAAUCGGAAUUACUGGGCGUAAAGCGCGCGUAGGUGGCUUGAUAAGCCGGUUGUGAAAGCCCCGGGCUCAACCUGGGAACGGCAUCCGGAACUGUCAAGCUAGAGUGCAGGAGAGGAAGGUAGAAUUCCCGGUGUAGCGGUGAAAUGCGUAGAGAUCGGGAGGAAUACCAGUGGCGAAGGCGGCCUUCUGGACUAACACUGACACUGAGGUGCGAAAGCGUGGGUAGCACACAGGAUUAGAUACCCGUGUAGUC